AGAAGGGAGAAGAGGUCCCCAGGUGGCCUUCCCUGUGGACAGCAUUCUUCCUGGUAAUGACUCUUCCUGGAUGACAUUGUGGCUGGCUGGGUCUGGAAUCCUGCCCAGGAAAGGUGCAGAAGUGACCCAGUUCUCAGAGUGCACCCACAUAAGUGAAGACAGGAAAGAAAUUAGAUCGACCUUCAAAAGUACCAGGCAGUGGAAUAACUACAAUGAGAGCCCGUCAUCCUGGUGAAAUAAGGUGGCUCAGAGGCGGAGACAGUGAGGGUGCAGCCCACAUGCACUCCGGUCCUCGUCUGAACUCUGCCGGACGUCUGGAGGCUCGUGACUGCCCUGCCAUCCUUUUCAGUCCCUUUUUAGCAGAUCCUUCCUAAGCUCAGUCCAAACCCAAAGUGACGAAGAGUGACUCUGGGGAGAGAGGCACAGGGACAGUGUUUCCUCUGAGGUGGGCAGGAUUGCGGAAGGGCAGGGACCAUGGAGGCAGGCUGAUCAGUUAUUUCUUUUGGAUGAAGUCACACCUGAAUUUUCUAAUAAGGUGUAAAAUAUUAUGUAUAAUAUCUAACAAAAUUUAACCAUUUUGGUGUACAGUUUGAUGAAUUUUGGUAGUCGUAUACA